UGGGGAAUAUUGCACAAUGGGCGAAAGCCUGAUGCAGCAACGCCGCGUGAGUGAUGAAGGCCUUCGGGUUGUAAAGCUAAAAAAUUCCCAUUAGAUGGGAGAUGAUGGUACUUCUGGAGUAAGCCCCGGCUAACUACGUGCCAGCAGCCGCGGUAAUACGUAGGGGGCAAGCGUUGUCCGGAUUUACUGGGUGUAAAGGGUGCUCAGGCGGAUUUGUAAGUCAGAGGUGAAAUCUUACAGCUUAACUGUGAAACUGCCUUUGAUACGGCAAGCCUAGAGUAUGGAAGAGAGUGAUGGAAUAUCUGGUGUAGCAGUGAAAUGCGUAGAUAUCAGAUAGAACACGAAUGGCGAAGGCAGUCACUUGGUCCAUUACUGACGCUAAAGCACGAAAGCGUGGGUAGCAAA
rnacentral:rRNA from 1 species